UUCCUUUGUGGACAUCUGAUAAAAUUGGAACGAUACAGAGAAGAUUAACAUGACUCUUGCACAAAAAUAAAAUGCGUAAAUCGAGAAAUGGUCCUAGAUCUC
rnacentral:snRNA from 1 species